ACGGAAGGCAGCAGUGGGGAAUAUUGGGCAAUGGGCGAAAGCCUGACCCAGCGACGCCGCGUGAGCGAAGAAGGUCUUCGGAUUGUAAAGCUCUGUUGACAGGGACGAAGAAGUGACGGUACCUGUCGAGGAAGCCACGGCUAACUACGUGCCAGCAGCCGCGGUAAUACGUAGGUGGCAAGCGUUAUCCGGAUUUACUGGGUGUAAAGGGCGCGUAGGCGGGGGUGCAAGUCAGAUGUGAAAUCUAUGGGCUUAACUCAUAAACUGCAUUUGAAACUGUAUCUCUUGAGUGCUGGAGAGGUAGAUGGAAUUCCUAGUGUAGCGGUGAAAUGCGUAGAUAUUAGGAAGAACACCAGUGGCGAAGGCGAUCUACUGGACAGUAACUGACGCUGAGGCGCGAAAGCGUGGGGAGCAAACAGGAUUAGAUACCCUGGUA
rnacentral:rRNA from 1 species